rnacentral:siRNA from 1 species
UAGGAUCUCUCAUGUGUGCAUA